rnacentral:tRNA from 1 species
UGCCCGGUCGUCUAAUGGUAGGACAACGGCCUUUGAAGCCGUGUAUCUUGGUUCGAAUCCAAGCUGGGCAA